rnacentral:rRNA from 1 species
GAAAGAUUCAUCGGAAGAGGAUGGGCAUGCGGCGCAUUAGCUAGACGGCGGGGUAACGGCCCACCGUGGCGACGAUGCGUAGGGGUUCUGAGAGGAAGGUCCCCCACACUGGUACUGAGACACGGACCAGACUCCUACGGGAGGCAGCAGUGAGGAAUAUUGGUCAAUGGGAGAGAUCCUGAACCAGCCAAGCCGCGUGAGGGAAGACGGCCCUAUGGGUUGUAAACCUCUUUUGUCGGAGAACAAAACCCGGGACGUGUCCCGGACUGCGUGUAUCCGAAGAAAAAGCAUCGGCUAACUCCGUGCCAGCAGCCGCGGUAAUACGGAGGAUGCGAGCGUUAUCCGGAUUUAUUGGGUUUAAAGGGUGCGUAGGCGGUCCGUUAAGUCAGCGGUAAAAUUGCGGGGCUCAACCCCGUCGAGCCGUUGAAACUGGCAGACUUGAGUUGGCGAGAAGUACGCGGAAUGCGCGGUGUAGCGGUGAAAUGCAUAGAUAUCGCGCAGAACUCCGAUUGCGAAGGCAGCGUACCGGCGCCAGACUGACGCUGAGGCACGAAAGCGUGGGGAUCGAACAGGAUUAGAUACCCUGGUAGUCCACGCAGUAAACGAUG